rnacentral:rRNA from 1 species
CUGAAGAACCUUGAUGUCAUUAAUUUGGUGUCUUGGGGAAUCAGGACUGUUACUUUGAAAAAAUUAGAGUGUUUAAAGCAGGCAUACGCUUGAAUACAUUAGCAUGGAAUAAUGAAAUAGGACGUUUGAUUCUAUUUUGUUGGUUUCUAGGAUCGACGUAAUGAUUAAUAGGGAUAGUUGGGGGCAUUAGUAUUCAAUUGUCAGAGGUGAAAUUCUUGGAUUUAUUGAAGACUA